rnacentral:tRNA from 1 species
GCCUGGGUGGCUCAGUCGGUUAAGCGUCCGACUUCGGCUCAGGUCAUGGUUGGUCUCACGGUUUGUGGGUUUGAGCCCCACAUCGGGCU